CUUUGUUUCCUAAAGCUUCACUGAAGUAUAAUUUACGUACCAUAAAACUCGCGCAUUUUCAGUGCAGAAUUCAGGGGUUAUUACUGCUGCCAUCACCACAACCUUGUUUUAAUGAGCCCUGGAGUUUUCUUGAGGCCGAGGAGGCAGGCCAGCCCUGGAGGCCUGGUCAGGCUAGGCCUGGGGGUGUGGUCUGGCCUGCCUCGGAGGCGUGGUCAGCUGGGCUUGGGGGCGUGGUCAUGUCAGGCCUCAGGGACGUGAUCAGGCCUGGAUGAAGUUGAGAAGGCAGUUUUUUUAAGGCGAAGGUGUAAGCUCUUGGCAGUGGUGGAUGCAGAGUGAUCGGGACAAGAAUGCUGAGCAGACCCUUAGUCCAACACCUUGGGGCCUGUGUUCACUUAGUGAGUGGAAGGAGAAGGAGGAGCCAAAGACAGAGACAGAAUAUCCGCUCCCUGGAGGCAGGCCCCAGCCCUGGACUGUUCACUUUUGAAUCCCCAGAGCCUAGCACCGCACCUGCCACUUUGAAGUGUGUCCUGUGACGGAGAAACCUUAGCUAUACCUCAUCGUUUUCCUUGGAAAGCCUUGGUUUUCUUCUGAUCUUCGGGCUGCUCAUCUUGGACACUUGGUCCCGUGCAGAUCCCCACACCAGGCUUCCUGAAUACCCUGAACACCAAACCCAAGAGCUCCAGGGGAGCCGCCACCGCCAGAGCCAGCAAGACCUCCUCCAGGCCACCCACCCCCAGCCGAGAAGCAGGCUCAGCUUCAGGGGGUGAGCACCUGGCGCCAGCAAAACCGGGGCCCUUGGAAUCAUAGCAGCACCAUCACCGCGGUGGGCCAGAGGCAGGGGAGAAUAUCCAAGGCACCAAAUUCAACGUCCUUCCUUAAAUUUCCAUUCUGUUUCACUCAACCGGGGUACAUAUUGUUAAAGCAAAAGAGGAUGAGAAGGAAACAUGGGUACAGCUAAAAUUAUGCACGCUUUUGUUUUAAGUAAAUGCCUUCCUCCGGAACAGUGGUAUUUGCCAUCAUCUCUCCCCCCACCCCCAUCCCCGCCCCCUGUCCCGCUUGCUUUUCUCCUUAGUCUAAUGUCUUUGCUCUUCACACUUCCUAAGUCUCCAGAAUUCCUGUUACUUGGACGUGAGCCGGGAAACUCCCCCAAAGGGUGCGGUUUGCCUCUGCAGCUGACUCACGUCCCUCCUGCUGCUACCUCGUCUUUUCGAUGCCAUUUUCUCCUUGCCAUGAAUGCGGCUCUGUCUGUGAGCUGCUUCUCUUAAAGCUGGAUCCCGGGUCUUAUUUUUGCAGUGACCUCAGAUUAUUAGGCUAACUCUAAAUAUCUUGGUGGUGAAUCGGCUGUGAAUGCUAUCAAUUUAAUAUUAAACAACAGCUUAAUCAAAUUCCAGGUCAUGUUUUUAUUGCUGUUCUAAAUAUAAACAUAAAUAUAAAUAUAUAAAGCAAAUGUAUCUAUAUAUGGAAAUGUUUGGGGGGAAAACUCUUUCCUGGAAACUACAACUGGCGGUGGCAGCCUAGACAGUGACACAAAUAAAAGUACCUUUUGAAUUACAUCCUAGUUCAGGUCUCUAGUCCCAGAGAAUUUGACGUUAAAUAAAAGGGUGAAGUUUCCCAAGAUUGCUCUGGUUGAAGAGAGUGAAGCUGGUGAUGUGUGCUUAGGAAAUUAGUAAUGCACUACUCUACUGGCUUCAAGAAGCAUCCCUCUCCUACAUGCUUUCCCAAAUGAGUUGGUCCUAAAGAAAUGGGGGAAAAUUUUUUAUUUUCAACUACAUUAGAAACAAAAAUAUAUUUUUGUCUGGCAGUAUAUUAAAUAUAUAUAAUAUGUUACAUAAUAUUGGUAGAAAUGUAAUUCUAUGCAGUGAUUACGUAUAUCUGGACUUAUUGAUGUGAAUUUUUGUAAUACAUCAUGUGAAGAAAGCAGGUUAUAAAAUAGUAGGUAUACUAAGAUGCCAUCCAGGUAAAUCCACAUG